GUGGAACUGUGCAGCUGAUACCCUUAGCUAUCAGUACAGGAUAAUUGAACAUUCUACGCUGACAAUGAGGACAGCGUAUCAAGUGUUAGCCAGUCAAUAUGACCCAUUAGGGUUCAUGGUGCCAUUCACAACCCGAGCCAAGGUGCUUAUACAGCAGUUCUGGUCCAAAAAAAGGGGCUGGGAUGAUCCUGACCUACCGCCUGUCCUCAGAGAAGCCUGGGAAAACUGGGAGAGUGAGCUGAAGCACCUCAGCAGUGUAUCCAUACCCCGUUGUUACUCACCUGUCCCAGUAGAAGGUACAGAUGUCAAGUGCGACCUCCAUGUAUUUUGUGAUGCCUCGGAGCAAGCAUAUGGAGCAGUCGCAUACCUUACAGUCUAUGCAGGUGACACUAUUCACACCUCCUUCGUGAUGGCAAGAUCCAGAGUUGCUCCGAAAAGGCAACAGUCUAUUCCCCGCUUGGAGCUCUGCGCAGCACUAGCCGGAGCUCAACUCGCCAAGCUCAUAGAAACUGAGAUGUCACUCCCUCUCCGACAAACAGUCCUGUGGUCUGACUCUACCACCGUAUUGGAGUGGCUACAAUCCGAUUCCUGUCGUUAUAAGGUGUUUGUCGGAACUCGGGUGUCAGAAAUACAGGAGCUGACUGACCGAAGGUCCUGGCGCUACGUGGACAGUCUAAACAAUCCGGCCGAUGACAUAACCAGGGGAAAGCCACUGUUGGAUCUUGCAGAACAUGGUCGCUGGAGUCAAGGCCCCCUGUAUCUCAAGCAAAGCACAGAACACUGGCCGACGAAGCCUAAGCAAACUACGACAGGAGGCUUGUCUGAACUUAAAGGUAUCACCCUUUGUUGCUUCACGACCGUGGAGCCCAAUAACAGCAUUCCUGAUUCUAGUCAGCAUAGCUCAUGGGAGAAGCUGGUGGAGGCAACUCAACGAGCUCACGGGGCGGCCACAGAUCAAGAACAUGAUCAGCCCCUCAGUCGUAGAGAUGCAGAGGUACUGUUGUUGAGAGGGUGUCAAGCUCAUAGCUUCUCUGAGGAAGUUGCAGCGCUUAAAGCACAGAAACCUGUCCCAACUCACAGUCGUCUCAUCAACCUUGCUCCAGAGUGGGAUGAUGAAACUGGUCUCAUUCGUGUGGGGGGAAGGUUGCGAAGACUGCAGAAUCUAAGUAUCGGUGAGAUUCAUCCAGUUGUGCUGGAUUCAAGGCAUCCUGCAGUGAAACUCCUCAUCAAGGACAUGGAUGAACAUCUCUUACACCCCGGUACAGAACGAGUCUAUGCGGAGUUGAGGAGACAGUAUUGGAUCAUACGAGGACGUCAGGCCAUCCGACACCAC
rnacentral:lncRNA from 1 species